AACAACAGGGAUUGCUCAGUAACGGCGAGUGAAGCGGCAAAAGCUCAAAUUUGAAAUCUGGCACCUUCGGUGUCCGAGUUGUAAUUUGAAGAAGGUAACUUUGGAGUUGGCUCUUGUCUAUGUUCCUUGGAACAGGACGUCACAGAGGGUGAGAAUCCCGUGCGAUGAGAUGUCCAAUUCUAUGUAAAGUGCUUUCGAAGAGUCGAGUUGUUUGGGAAUGCAGCUCUAAGUGGGUGGUAAAUUCCAUCUAAAGCUAAAUAUUGGCGAGAGACCGAUAGCGAACAAGUACAGUGAUGGAAAGAUGAAAAGAACUUUGAAAAGAGAGUGAAAAAGUACGUGAAAUUGUUGAAAGGGAAGGGCUUGAGAUCAGACUUGGUAUUUUGCAAGCCUUACCCUCGUGGUGGGGUCCCCUGCAGUUUACUGGGCCAGCAUCGGUUUGGAUGGUGGGAUAAUGACAUUGGAAUGUGGCUCUGCUUCGGUAGAGUGUUAUAGACUUUGUUGAUACCACCUGUCUAGACCGAGGACUGCGUCUUUGACUAGGAUGUUGGCAUAAU
rnacentral:rRNA from 1 species